UCAUGUCAUUAUUUUAGUUCAGUCCAGAACAUCUGACUCAGUAUUUAAACAGAGUUAAAACUAAUGUUUGUAUUCUGCAGCACUAGAGUCUUCUGGACUCUUUCAGAAAUGGAUUGUCGUCUGCAUUAGAGACUGUAUUGAGUGUCUGAUCAUAACUGUUCUCAUGUCAUUAUUUUUCAGGUGUCAGAAGAGCGACUGAUGACUCUGUGGUGAGUUUUGGAGGUUGAUCAUGAGCUCCACAGAGGACUGACUCUGAAAUAUCAGACUCUUAUUACUCACAUUAGAUCAUGACAAGAUAGUCUAUUUCUACUGUUUCUGCUCUAAAGCUCAGAGAUAGAAAUAAAUAGAAUGGAACCAGUGACUCAAUCAACAUUUCCAUUCAUCCUGCGCCCAGUGAACAAUAUGAUUCAUCUUCAAUAAUUUGUGUAUAUUUCCAUAUCUGUGAAUAUUUGACAGUUGCUCUGGUAAUAUUCCUGUCGUGUUACAAUAGGAUCCGUCAUCCAGAGCUGGGACCAACUCAUUGUUUUGCGAGUCACAAGUAAAUCUUGAGUCUCUGCAUUCAAGUCCCGAGUCAAGACAGACAAGUCCAAGUCAAGUAGAGCAGACAGAUGAUGUGACUUAUACUGAAGUUACUGCGUUCAGUAAAAACAGAGCCAAAAAGAACAAGGUGAGCAAACACUUCUUGUCCUCUCAUCGAUGUGCACCUUCUCUCAGUGUGACCUGUAUCUCUUUUAUUCUGAUAUAAAUGUGUGCUGAGUUGAGCUCAAACCUCAUGCUGUAAUAACUGUGGGUUGAAACAGUCACUGUGAUGUUGAUUCAGGUUCACUGUGAUGAUAAAGUGACUUACGCUUCCAUCGGAGGAGCAAAAGCUGGAGCUCAGGAAGACUGCAGUCAACUUUACUAUCUUAGAUCAUUCUCAUUAGAUCAUUGAGUGUUUAAUUAACUGUCAGCUUGCACUAAUUAUGAGAACAGGCAAAGCUUCUGUGUAUGAUGAUGUAAGUGUUCAUCACAAUAUGACAGGAAUGAUCAUUUGGUGUUUGAACCAUUUGAACAGCUGCUAUCAGCAAUGCUUGUAAAAUUAUAUUUUAUCUGUCAGUAAUAAAAUAGCCUGUGUCAAACCUGUAUAUUUAUGGUAAAUAUUUUUCAUUACAAAUAUUUUUUUAUAUUCGUGACACAGAAGUCUCUGACUGUAUGGGCUCAAACAUUUACAGAGACACAUGUGUGCAGAAUGUUGCUGUGAACCGCAAUCAUCAUCGGUUUUCAUGAGGAAUAUGAUUCUGUGUCAGUAGUUUUUUAAUGCUCAAGCUACUGCAUCAGCAGGCUCUUUUAAAAUAUUUCUGUGCUUGUACUUGUGCUUGUGUGGAUUUGUGACUGAUGCAGAGGUGCUCAGAAAUGCUUUAUUUAACAGAGCUGUAGAGGAACUGAGAGACCGCGGUCAGUUUAGCAGAAACAGCGAUAAUGAUUAGGGACAGGAAUCAUAACUUCUUUAAUGGUUCCAUUACUGAUUAUUUGUAGUUCAGUUUAAUUUAAUUUUAAGGAAGUAUUUAAUUAAAUUUCAUUGCCAAAUAAUGAACAUUUUGAUGAUAAAUAAAUUUUUCAUUACAAUUUUUUCAAAAGGUGUUUACACAGGCUUUUAAGUGGCACCAUAAAUGCAGCUACACUGUUUUAAGUCUCACAUUUAGUUUUAGCUCUAUGUGUUCGAUAAACUAGAACGUAUCAGUUCAUAAGAGUCAUUUGAUUGGGAAUCAAGAUGGGGAGAGGAGGUGAAGGCCCUAGAUAAUAACUCAUUUAGGGGGGCAAGGUCCGCAAAUGCCCCUCCCUGGCACCAUACCUGCCAUUUAUUUACUGGUACUGUGGUUCUCAACCAGGGGUCCGGGGCCCACUGGGGGGGUUACAUCCAAGGGGGACUCAAUCUGACUUAAAAUGACUGAAAUAAGACAAAACAGCUAUUAAAAUAAGCUAAAACUACAAAUUAAAAAAAAUAUAUAUAUAUUUCUUAUUUUAAAGCUGCAGUCGGUAACUUCUGGGGCUCGCGUCUGGCGGAAGAACAUUGUAGCCGGAGCUACUUCUCUCUGUUUACAUCUAUAAUAGUCCAAAUAUAAACACUUAUUAUAGGUGUACCGUAGUGAUUCAGGAUAAGACAAAAACACGGUUUGGAAAAUGGAUUCAUGAUGUACUCUCUCAUUAUAUAUGUUUUUUACAUUUUCAACACAAAACAACACUGUGGCACAGCCCUG
rnacentral:lncRNA from 1 species